AUUGAACGCUGGCGGCAUGCUUUACACAUGCAAGUCGGACGAGUGGCGAACGGGUGAGUAAUAUAUUGGAACGUCCCGAGUAAUGGGGGAUAACCAAUAGAAAGUUUGGCUAAUACCGAAAAUUAUUAGAGCGGCCAAUAUCUGAGUGGCUAGUUGGUGGGGUAAAGGCCCACCAAGGCGACGAUCAGUAGCGGGUCUGAGAGGAUGAUCCGCCACCCUGGGACUGAGACACGGCCCAGACUCCUACGGGAGGCAUCAGUGGGGAAUUUUGGACAAUGGGCGCAAGCCUGAUCCAGCCAUGCCGCGUGUCUGAAGAAGGCCCUAGGGUUGUAAAGGACUUUUGUUAGGGAAGCGGUACCUAAAGAAUAAGCACCGGCUAACUGCGUGCCAGCAGCCGCGGUAAUAC
rnacentral:rRNA from 1 species